AGUGAACGCUGGCGGCGUGCCUAAUACAUGCAAGUCGAACGGAGUGGCGCACGGGUGAGUAAUAUAUAGCUAAUCUGCCCCUUGCUGGAGGACAACAGUUAGAAAUGACUGCUAAUACUCCAUAGCAAGGGAUGAGACUAUAUCGUAUCAGCUAGUCGGUGGGGUAACGGCCUACCGAGGCUAUGACGCGUAACUGGUCUGAGAGGAUGAUCAGUAAAAUGGGAAGGGAGACACGGUUCAAAAUCAUACGGGAGGGAGCAGUAGGGAAUAGGGCGCAAUGGGGGAGAAUGUGACGCAGCAUCGCCGCGUGAAGGAUGACAAGUUUCGGAGCGUAAACUCCUGUUGUUAGGGAAGCGGUACCUAACGAAUAAGCACCGGCUAACUCCGUGCCAGCAGCCGCGGUAAUAC
rnacentral:rRNA from 1 species